rnacentral:rRNA from 1 species
AUUGAACGCUGGCGGCAUGCCUUACACAUGCAAGUCGAACGGCAGCACGGGAGCAAUCCUGGUGGCGAGUGGCGAACGGGUGAGUAAAGUAUCGGAACGUGCCCAGUCGUGGGGGAUAACGUAGCGAAAGUUACGCUAAUACCGCAUACGAUCUAUGGAUGAAAGCGGGGGAUCGCAAGACCUCGCGCGAUUGGAGCGGCCGAUAUCAGAUUAGGUAGUUGGUGGGGUAAAGGCUCACCAAGCCGUCGAGCUGUAGCUGGUCUGAGAGGACGACCAGCCACACUGGAACUGAGACACGGCCCAGACUCCGACGGGAGGCAGCAGUGGGGAAUUUUGGACAACGGGCGAAAGCCUGAUCCAGCCAUGCCGCGUGCAGGAUGAAGGCCUUCGGGUUGUAAACUGCUUUUGUACGGAACGAAAAGGUUUGGCCUAAUAAGCUGAGCUCAUGACGGUACCGUAAGAAUAAGCACCGGCUAACUACGUGCCAGCCGCCGCCGUAA